rnacentral:rRNA from 1 species
GAUGAACGCUAGCGGCAGGCUUAACACAUGCAAGUCGAGGGGUAGAAGGAGCUUGCUCCUUUGAGACCGGCGCACGGGUGCGUAACGCGUAUGCAAUCUACCUUUUGCAGAGGGAUAGCCCAGAGAAAUUUGGAUUAAUACCUCAUAGUAUGUGAGGAUGGCAUCAUUUUCACAUUAAAGUCACAACGGCAAAAGAUGAGCAUGCGUCCCAUUAGCUAGUUGGUAAGGUAACGGCUUACCAAGGCUACGAUGGGUAGGGGUCCUGAGAGGGAGAUCCCCCACACUGGUACUGAGACACGGACCAGACUCCUACGGGAGGCAGCAGUGAGGAAUAUUGGACAAUGGGCGCAAGCCUGAUCCAGCCAUGCCGCGUGCAGGAUGACGGUCCUAUGGAUUGUAAACUAGCUUUUGUUACAGGAAGAAAC